GUAAAGUCUAUAUUUAUUAUCUGAUCCUUUAUAAAAAAGUUUGCAGACCACUGCUGCAGGAGAGCAGUCAGUGUCAUUGUGAUGUCAGGAAAGCUGGCUUAAGAGGAUUUAUGGAUCAGCAGGUUAUUCCUUGACCUGUGCCUGUAGAACUAAGCCAAGUUAGGCAUGAUGAAGAAAGGUGGGAGUAGGUGGGUAGUGCUUGCUCCCUGUAAAAAGAAGGAAUGUGGAAUAAUUAAGCACAAAAGAUCCGGCUUCUUUUGUUAGUCAUAUGACCGUAUUAGUUCAGGCUUCCCUUCUCUUUUUUGUCCUUUUCAGAUGAGUGGACUUUUCGUGUGCUGUGUGGUGGAUGUGACUCAGGUCAUAGCCACUGCUCUGAAAAGUGAUGGAGUCAGGGAGCCAUCAUCCAGCCUCACCUCCUGGGUUGUCAACCUACAUUUUUGGAGCCAGCUCAUUCUUUGAGGUUUCUCUAAGUCCCCAUAUAUUACAAGAAUCUCGGAUACAUUACUUGAGGACAGUAUAGAUUCCAGAAGAGCUGCUAUUCAUGUUGACCAACAGUCUUAAGCAGAAAGAAAUAGCUUCUGGAAAAAUAACUUUUUCCUCAUGAUCCAAAAUGGCAG
rnacentral:lncRNA from 10 species